rnacentral:rRNA from 1 species
CGUAGGGGGCAAGCGUUGUCCGGACUUACUGGGCGUAAAGCGUGUGCAGGCGGGCCGCUAUGUGCCGUGCGAAAGCUCCCAGCUUAUCUGGGAGAGGUCGCGGUAGACAGGCAGCCUGGAGGCUCGGAGAGGUCAGUGGAAUUCUCGGUGUAGUGGUGAAAUGCGUAGAUAUCGAGAGGAACACCAGUGGCGCAAGCGGCUGACUGGCCGAGACCUGACGCUGAGACACGACGGCGUGGGGAGCAAACCGGAUUAGAUACCCGGGUAGUCCACGCAGUAAACGAUGCAUACCCGGUGUUGGGCGGUCUGUCAAAGGACCGCGCAGUGCCCCAGCUUACGCGAUGAGUAUGCCGCCUGGGGACUACGAGCGCAAGCUUA